rnacentral:rRNA from 1 species
UACGUAGGUGGCAAGCGUUGUCCGGAUUUACUGGGCGUAAAGAGCGCGCAGGCGGUCGUUCAAGUCGCGUGUGAAAGCCCCCGGCUCAACUGGGGAGGGUCACGCGAUACUGAUCGACUCGAAGGCAGGAGAGGGUAGUGGAAUUCCCGGUGUAGUGGUGGAAUGCGUAGAUAUCGGGAGGAACACCAGUGGCGAAGGCGGCUUCCUGGACCUGUUCUGACGCUGAGGAGCGAAAGCGUGGGGAGCGAUCCGG